CUUGCCUCCAUAAGAGGUCCAGCCUGCCCAGUGACCUAGUUCAACGGCCGCGGUAUCCUAACCGUGCGAAGGUAGCGUAAUCACUUGUCUUCUAAAUAAAGACUAGUAUGAAAGGCACCACGAGAACUUAACUGUCUCCCUUUUCUAAUCAGUGAAACUAAUCUCCCCGUGAAGAAGCGGGGAUCCUCAAAUUAGACGAGAAGACCCUAUGGAGCUUUAAACACUAACCACUUGCCCGCACAUCAAUUACCCAGGUUUCCUCAAUCCACGCAAUAUGAUUACGUGUUUUUGGUUGGGGUGACCGCGGAAAAUAACUAAACUUCCACAAUGACAACCAUCCAAACUAUAAGCUACAGCUUUAAGUAUCAACAAAUUGACACUCAUUGACCCAAUAUAUUGAUUAAUGAAC
rnacentral:rRNA from 1 species